rnacentral:sRNA from 1 species
AUCUUCCAGGGUACCUAACACAUUGCAGAUAUUCAUGGUAUGUUUGUUAAAUAAAUGAACUUGAUAGAUUUGACCCUCAUAGAGUUAUUUGGACUUGCAAAAAGUUUGUAGUUAACUCCAAUCUGUGAUGUGGGAGAGACUUCUAGGCAGGUUGCUUUCUCCAGGGCAUGUUCUUAUAUUUCCCAUGACCCACCACCCCCCUGCAAAAGGACUGGGCCUAUUUCAGGAAGGUGACUGAUGGCCUGCACUGUAGCACAGGGGUUGUGCAUUGUGCCUUGCAGGAACAAAAUUUUCAAUAAAGUAAAUGUUUGUUUGUUUGUUUUUGAGACGGAGUUUUGCUUUGUGAGCCAAGAUCGCACUGCUGUACCCAGCCUGGGCCACAGAGCAAGACUCCAUCUCAAAAAAAAAAGAAAAGAAAAAGCCUGUUUAAUGCACAGGUGUGAGUGGAUUGCUUAUGGUUAUGAGAUAGGUUGAUCUCGCCCUUACCCCGGGGUCUGGUGUAUGCUGUGCUUUCCUCAGCAGCAUGGCUCUGACAUCUCUUAGAUGUCCCAACUUCAGCUGUUGGGAGAUGGUGAUAUUUUCAACCCUACUUCCUAAACAUCUGUCUGGGGUUCCUUUAGUCUUGAAUGUCUUAUGCUCAAUUAUUUGGUGUUGAGCCUCUCUUCCACAAGAGCUCCUCCAUGUUUGGAUAGCAGUUGAAGAGGUGUGUGGGUGGGCUGUUGGGAGUGAGGAUGGAGUGUUCAGUGCCCAUUUCUCAUUUUACAUUUUAAAGUCGUUCCUCCAACAUAGUGUGUAUUGGUCUGAAGAGGGUGGUGGGAUGCCAAAGCCUGCUCAAGUUAUGGACAUUGUGGCCACCAUGUGGCUUAAAUGAUUUUUUCUAACUAAUAAAGUGAAAUAUAUAUUU